AGUGAACGCUGGCGGUAGGCCUAACACAUGCAAGUCGAACGGCAGCACCGUAAGAGCUUGCUCUUACGGGUGGCGAGUGGCGGACGGGUGAGGAAUACAUCGGAAUCUACUUUUUCGUGGGUGAUAACGUAGGGAAACUUACUCUAAUACCGCAUACGACCUACUGGUGAAAGCAGGGGAUCUUCGGACCUUGCGCGAUUGAAUGAGCCGAUGUCGGAUUAGCUAGUUGGCGGGGUAAAGGCCCACCAAGGCGACGAUCCGUAGCUGGUCUGAGAGGAUGAUCAGCCACACUGGAACUGAGACACGGUCCAGACUCCUACGGGAGGCAGCAGUGGGGAAUAUUGGACAAUGGGCGAAAGCCUGAUCCAGCAAUACCGCGUGGGUGAAGAAGGACUUCGGGUUGUAAAGCCCUGUUGUUGGGAAAGAAAAGCAGCAGGUUAAUACCCCGCUGUUCUGACGGUACCCAAAGAAUAAGCACCGGCUAACUUCGUG
rnacentral:rRNA from 1 species